AGAAGGAAAACAUCGAAUCCCCAUAUAUGCUAAGGAAUUGGCCUUAGUGUCUCUACCCGACACCGUAAAUGUCGGACUAUGCGGGAAAGCAACUUUUGG
rnacentral:ncRNA from 2 species